CUGUCCUCUCCUCAGUGCUCUCCGGAUUUUGGUGGAAGAGAUGUCAUUGGUGAUCCACUCUUCUACCAGGGAGAAGCUUGCAAGUCUGGGAAACAGAAUUUUUAUAAGAAUUGGACCUCAACUAUGAAUCUUCCUGCAAGAGGCUCUUGAACAUCAACCUACUGCCUGACUCACCUGGCCUAACAAUUGAUCUGAUGAGUGCAUACACACCAUCAGUUCAGAUCAUUAUAGUGUUUGUUUUGGAAUCACCAUUCUGAUCCUUGAGGUCUACAUCCUACAGAGACUGGCAGCUGUUUUCACUCCCCUGAAUAUCAGACAGCACAAACCUGAAGGACUGAAAACUCCAAUAAAGGAAUGGAUGUGGCAGGAAAGGCUUGUUGAAGUUUUAACUAGGUGGUACCAUUUUCAACUCCUGUUUCUACAUUAGCAACCUGCUCAUUUAAAGUAAAGUAGUGAAGGUAGGGUGGUCCUGCAGCCUGAAUCAAUGAAAUCAGCAACAAUCCUGUGUUACCAAAAGUGCCUAAUUAGUAUUUCUUUGGUGGCAGGGUGACAAGUGAGAUAAGUCAGGUAUAAAUGGUAUAUGUAACAGGAAGAGGAAUAUCUUGCUAUUUCUUAGUUUUAACUCUUGCCAAUCUUUGGUUUGUAUCAAAGUUUUAAUACUAUUUUAGAAUAAUGUUAUCUAACAAA